UUCACUGCCUUAGGAGCUGGUCGCGCGUCGUGUCGAUAAGCAGCUGGCCGGCUGUUGCGUGCGAGCUAUGCCACGAAGAGCGUCGUGGUGUUGCUUCCUUUUCAUGGCAUAGCUCGCACGCAAGGUCCUGAGCGUGUCUGCAUCCAUGCCAGCUACAAAUCUUGAAAAUUCAGCUGAGCGUGUGUUCAUACGUACAGGGUACACCUUGAAUUGGCCUCCAUUAUCGAAAGGAUCAACUGGUGUGUGUUGACAGUUGAUCAAUUCAAACUUGGGUGUGUGCGUCCAAUACAUACCGCCUACAAUCCAAACUUGUUUACAAUUCCAUUAUAAAUAGACCAGGAAGCAGCAGGGUGCAUGACCAUACAAGAGAAGAGACCGGUCGUUGUGCAAUAGACUUUGUUUUGCCAAAGCAUGGGUUCGAGUUGGAGGUACCAGUACAUGAAGACGGUCCUUCUCCUUGUUAUGCAGCAGCUCAUUCUGGCAAUCUCUGUACGUGCGACCAGAGAUCUCUUCCAGCGCGACCCUGAUGGACCUAAUCAGGCCUGUUGUUAUUGCUGCCAUUGAGAUCCAAGUCUAUCAUUCCUCUUUGUUGAACGAAGGUCUUAGUGUGGAAGAAUGGCUGAUUGAAAUUCAACAUGUUAGUAUCAAGGAUCAGCUCACCGACAUGUUCGAGUCAUUUUGUUUCGGUAUUAAAUUCUUGUAAACAGUUCAUGUCGGGCAUGUCGCCGUGUCAUAUUCUUAUUUAAAUCAUAUUUACCUCCGUCCCAAAAAACAUGUCUUAUAUUUAUCUAGAUACAAACGUAUCUAACCCUAGAACUUUUUGGGACUAAGGGAGUAUAUACAUAAAUAAAGAGAAAAGUACAAAAACCA